rnacentral:rRNA from 1 species
GAUGAACGCUGGCGGCGUGCCUAAUACAUGCAAGUCGAGCGAACGGACGAGAAGCUUGCUUCUCUGAUGUUAGCGGCGGACGGGUGAGUAACACGUGGAUAACCUACCUAUAAGACUGGGAUAACUUCGGGAAACCGUAGCUAAUACCGGAUAAUGUUUUGAACCGCAUGGUUCAAAAGUGAAAGACGGUCUUGCUGUCACUUAUAGAUGGAUCCGCGCUGCAUUAGCUAGUUGGUAAGGUAACGGCUUACCAAGGCAACGAUGCAUAGCCGACCUGAGAGGGUGAUCGGCCACACUGGAACUGAGACACGGUCCAGACUCCUACGGGAGGCAGCAGUAGGGAAUCGUCCGCAAUGGGCGAAAGCCUGACGGAGCAACGCCGCGUGAGUGAUGAAGGUCUUCGGAUCGUAAAACUCUGUUAUUAGGGAAGAACAUAUGUGUAAGUAACUGUGCACAUCUUGACGGUACCUAAUCAGAAAGCCACGGCUAACUACGUG